GAGAAGCUUGCUUCUUGGGUGACGAGCGGCGGACGGGUGAGUAACGCGUAGGAAUCUACCUGGUAGUGGGGGAUAGCCCGGGGAAACCCGGAUUAAUACCGCAUACGUCCUAAGGGAGAAAGCAGGGGAUCUUCGGACCUUGCGCUAUCAGAUGAGCCUGCGUGGGAUUAGCUAGUUGGUAGGGUAAAGGCCUACCAAGGCGACGAUCCCUAGCUGGUCUGAGAGGAUGAUCAGCCACACUGGGACUGAGACACGGCCCAGACUCCUACGGGAGGCAGCAGUGGGGAAUAUUGGACAAUGGGGGCAACCCUGAUCCAGCCAUGCCGCGUGUGUGAAGAAGGCCUUCGGGUUGUAAAGCACUUUCAGUGGUGAGGAAGGGGUGAUGGCUAAUAUCCAUCAUCAUUGACGCUAGCCACAGAAGAAGCACCGGCUAACUCCGUGCCAGCAGCCGCG
rnacentral:rRNA from 1 species